rnacentral:rRNA from 1 species
GGGUCUGACGCCUGCCCGGUGCCUGAAGGUUAAGAGGAGGAGUGCAAGCUCCGAAUUGAAGCCCAGGUAAACGGCGGCCGUAACUAUAACGGUCCUAAGGUAGCGAAAUUCCUUGUCGGGUAAGUUCCGACCUGCACGAAUGGCGUAACGACUUCCCCACUGUCUCCAGGAGAUGCUCAGCGAAAUUGAAUUCUCCGUGAAGAUGCGGAGUACCCGCGGUUAGACGGAAAGACCCCGUGCACCUUUACUGCAGCUUCAGAGUGGCUGUGGGAAACAAUUGUGUAGAAUAGGUGGGAGGCUUUGAAGCAUGGGCGCCAGCUCGUGUGGAGCCACAAUGUGAAAUACCACCCUGUUGUUUUCUACAGUCUAACCUCGCACCGUUAUCCGGUGCAGGGACCCUCUGUGGCGGGUAGUUUGACUGGGGCGGUCGCCUCCUAAAGAGUAACGGAGGCGCGCGAUGGUAGGCUCAGGACGGUUGGAAACCGUCUGUUAGAGUGCAAUGGCAUAAGCCUGCCUGACUGCGAGAUCUACGAAUCGAGCAGAGACGAAAGUCGGUCAUAGUGAUCCGGUGGUCCCUCGUGGAAGGGCCAUCGCUCAACGGAUAAAAGGUACGCCGGGGAUAACAGGCUGAUGACGCCCAAGAGUCCAUAUCGACGGCGUCGUUUGGCACCUCGAUGUCGGCUCAUCUCAUCCUGGGGCUGAAGCAGGUCCCAAGGGUAUGGCUGUUCGCCAUUUAAAGAGGUACGUGAGCUGGGUUUAAAACGUCGUGAGACAGUUUGGUCCCUAUCUGCCGUGGGCGUUGGAUAUUUGAAGGGGGCUGCUCCUAGUACGAGAGGACCGGAGUGGACGAACCUCUGGUGUACCGGUUGUCACGCCAGUGGCAUCGCCGGGUAGCUAUGUUCGGAAGAGAUAACCGCUGAAAGCAUCUAAGCGGGAAACUCGCCUUAAGAUGAGAUAUCCCUGGGGACUAGAUCCCCUUGAAGGGUCGUUCGAGACCAGGACGUUGAUAGGUCAGGUGUGUAAGCGCAGUAAUGCGUUCAGCUAACUGAUACUAAUUGCCC